CAUUUAAUGACUGAAAGCAAGUAAUGGUCUCUUAAACCAUAUAAUAGUAAUUUAGCAAUUACUUUAAAUGA
rnacentral:tRNA from 1 species